GACAGAGGGGGCAAGCGUUGCUCGGAAUUACUGGGCGUAAAGGGCGCGUAGGCGGGAUGGCAAGUCGGUCGUGAAAUCCUUCGGCUCAACCGAAGAACGUCGAUCGAUACUGCUGUUCUUGAGGGUUGCAGAGGAGACUGGAAUUCCCGGUGUAGCGGUGAAAUGUGUAGAGAUCGGGAGGAACACCGGUGGCGAAGGCGGGUCUCUGGGCAGUAACUGACGCUGAGGAGCGAAAGCGUGGGGAGCGAACAGG
rnacentral:rRNA from 1 species